rnacentral:sRNA from 1 species
UGAAAAGUGAAUAUGGUGUCAAUUGUCC